rnacentral:rRNA from 1 species
AUUGAACGCUGGCGGCAUGCCUUACACAUGCAAGUCGAACGGCAGCACGGGUGCUUGCACCUGGUGGCGAGUGGCGAACGGGUGAGUAAUACAUCGGAACAUGUCCUGUAGUGGGGGAUAGCCCGGCGAAAGCCGGAUUAAUACCGCAUACGAUCUACGGAUGACAGCGGGGACCUUCGUGCCUCGCGCUAUAGGGUUGGCCGAUGGCUGAUUAGCUAGUUGGUGGGGUAAAGGCCUACCAAGGCGACGAUCAGUAGCUGGUCUGAGAGGACGACCAGCCACACUGGGACUGAGACACGGCCCAGACUCCUACGGGAGGCAGCAGUGGGGAAUUUUGGACAAUGGGCGAAAGCCUGAUCCAGCAAUGCCGCGUGUGUGAAGAAGGCCUUCGGGUUGUAAAGCACUUUUGUCCGGAAAGAAAUCCUUGGCCCUAAUACGGUCGGGGGAUGACGGUACCGGAAGAAUAAGCACCGGCUAACUACGUG